CUCUUGAUAGUUUCAUCACGGAACUGUUGCUAUGGCCUUUGGAAGUCAACUUUUGAUAGGGUUCCACAGAUGGAUGAUGGAAAUCAACUUUUGAGAGCUUUGAAUGUUCUGAUGUUAAAGAUUCUAGUAACUAUCACUGUAAAACUUAUUUGGCAAGCAUGGCUAGUUUUUCUCUCUUCUUAUGAAUAUAAUUGUUGUUGGUGGCCGUAUUGCACAUGCAGGAUAACGCAUAACGCAGAGCGUACUUCAUCAUUUGAUGUGCUUAUAAUCUCUUAAGAUUUGAUUAUUACUACUUUGUCAACAAUUGGUGCUCUUGGGACUGCAAUGGGACAGCCACUUGAGAAGUCAAGCAAGGAUUAUGGAAUUGGAAUACAUCAUUCGCCGUAAGUAUAUGAUCACAAACAUGCUCAUGCUUAGUGGAAAGAAGCCUAUUGUUGCAUUGUGUCGGCUGCCACUAAGAAAGCCACGUCUGGAAAAUCUUGUAUUAACAAGAAGGGUGAUGGAGGACAAAAACAAAAGUUUCUAAGCCUAUGGAGCAUGAAGAUGUCGAGCAAACUGAAAUGAGUUUGGAAGAGAUUUAGAGCAGAUUAGGAUCCCUUAUUCAAGUAGAGACAAUUACUCAACUAAAAAGUGUUGGGUGGAAAGAGCUGCUUGAAGGUAUCAAAAAAUUUGAGAGAUAUACAAGGUUCUGCUUUGGCUAUUAUUUGAUAAUGACUGAAGCCAUAUGGAGUUUUCAAGGUAGAUUUGUUUUGUCAAGCAUCGCGUUUAAAAGCAGCCUAAAGACAGAAUAAAUGGUCAUGGCGACCGCGAAUCUGGGCAUGGAAGUAGAAAUGCACCUUCAGUAUGCGUUCUGUGCCUAACAAGGGAUACAGGCAAGAAUCCAUCUUGUGUGUUCAAGACAUCAACAUUAGCAUGAAGGAUUCAACCAAGAAUAAUGUCAUGAAAUCUUUUGGGAGGAUCUGAUCGGAGGCUCUUAAGUGCUGACUUCAAAAGCAAGUUGAUGGCAUUGAGAUGCUGCAGAAGGCUCUUCCAUCCAUGGGAAGGGAGGUGAUUGAAGUCUUAGAUAUAUACUCUUGAAGUGGUUUGUGUUGUGGUUUUUGAAUCCAACACAUCAUGCUUAUUAAAGGUACUUGAAUAUCUUCGCGUGCUUCAGGAUAUGUUGAGAAGUGUGGGCUACAUUGCGGUACCCCAUCUUUCUUCCUAGCUUGGUUGAUAAGGUGAUAAUAUUUGGAGAUAUUUGGAAGCUUACUUAGAAGUUUAGUAAGUUGAGGUUCACAUCAAUUUUUCAUCUGGUUCUUCCACUAUAACAGUUCUUAUGCCUUUUUGAUUCGUGCACAAGAGAUGGAGAAGAAGGAAUGCAAGCCUUGAGAAGCUAGAGCUGCCCUAAGACUACUCUCCGUCCGAGAAAAUAUGUGCAGUUUGUGUAUACUUCCUAAUCUGUGCAAUGUGUAUAUUGUAUUUAUAUUUGUA